AUGAUGGGGAAGACGCAGAAGUUCUCCAAGGGGCACCCGCUCGGUUUCGUGCCGGACUACCGAUAUGGGGUGGAAACUGUGGGGGUGUCAAAGGGCCUUGGGAAUCCUGCAAGAAGUGAAGCCAAGAGAAAAUGCAUCAACCUGAAUACGGACGAGGGGGCUGAUGCUCCCGGAUUUAAUGUGCCGCGUGUGGUCUUUGAGUUGCCGAGGAUGUCGGCCUCGGAUAGGAAUGAGCUGGAGAUGAGGCUCCGCGACGAGCUCGAGCAGGUCAGGGCCCUCCAGAGUAGGUUGUUUUCAAGAGGGGCUACGACGAGCAUGAAUGGUGGGACUGCGUCGGCUCCCAGAGGUGAUUUCAACGGCAAUAAAAAGGAUGGGAAGCUCAGGAGGAGCAAUUCAGUGCAGUCUGGCAGAGGAUUACCGCCAUCAGUUGCCCAACCUGUAGUCAGCUCCAUUAACUACACAGCAUCGUUUAAAAAAUGCCAGGAGCUUCUGAAGAACCUUAUGAAGCAUCGCUCUGCAAGCCCGUUUGUUAUGCCAGUUGAUCCUGUGAAGUUGUGUAUCCCUGAUUAUUUUGAUAUAGUCAAGCACCCAAUGGAUUUGGGUACUAUACAGAAAAAGCUGAAUGCAGGUGUGUACCCUACACCUUGGGAGUUUGCCGCAGACGUGAGGCUUACUUUUAGCAACGCUAUACUUUAUAACCCAGUCGGUAAUGCAGUUAACAUAAUGGCCCAGACUAUGAGCAGUGUUUUUGAACCUAGAUGGAAGCCUAUCGAAAAGAAGCUUCCUCGACCAGAUGAGGAACUCUCUGCAAUUGAGCCUUCAAAAAAUGAUGCAGUUGAGAAAAAUAUUGUUGACAACAAAGAGCCUUUUGAUAGAAGACCUUCAAAUAAAGGUGCAUAUAAGAAAAACACCUUUCAAAAAGAGGAGGUGGUUGCCAAGCCAGUUUUGCACCCGAAGAAGAGGAAAGCCUCUCCUUUGGUUCAGGAUGCUCCAGUAGCAUCAGUGAUACAGAUGGCUCAGGUGGCUGAGGAGGUUCCAGUGGUACAAACUGCUAUGGGAAUGAUGACAGAUGAACAAAAGGUUGCUCUAAGCGUAAGACUACAAUCAUAUGGUGGAUUCAUUCCAGAACAUGUAGUUGAGUUCAUAAAGAGGCAUGUUAAUGAUGAUAAUGAUGCUGAUGAAGAUGAGUUGACUAUUGACAUGAACGCUCUCAGCGAUGAUACCCUGUUUGAAUUACAGAAGCUUCUUGAUGACUAUGAUAUAGUAAAUCAGUCUGGAAACCCUACAAAAGAUGAGCCUCAAGAGGUUGAGUUCCAAAGUGAAUAUGGACUUGCCAACUCAUCAAUGCAUCAUGAAGGCAAUGAGCUUGUUGAGGAAGACAUUGAUAUUGGUGGGAACGAUCUUCCACCUUUAACAUACCCCCCUGUGGUAUUUGAAAGUGAAACGGCAGACAGAAGCAGCAAGCAUAGUUCUUCUAGCAGUUCUAGUAGUGAGUCAGGAUCAUCCUCCAGUGGUUCGGAUUCGAGUAGCUCUUCUGGAAGUGAUUUGGGUGCCAAAGUUCCUUCGGCAAACAUCGGGGCUAAGGAGAACGUACUACCCGUGUUUAGCUUGGACCAGGAGAACGAUUCACAGGAUACAUUGAAUAUACAAGAACAAUGUGCUGACCGUGUACCUAUUUCUGCUGAUGAUGAGGAGGAGAACGUGUCUGAUAAAAAAUACCGAGCUGCCCUUUUGAAAAGCCGCUUCGCUGAUACAAUUCUCAAAGCUCGUGAGAAGGCUCUUGAUCAGGUGAAGGAUCCUGAGAAAGUUCGGCGCGAGAGGGAGGAGCUUGAAAGGUUACAAAGGGAAGAGAGAGCUCGGUUACAAGCUGAGGCUAAAGCUGCUGAGGAAGCUCGCAAGAGGGCUGAAGCAGCAGCUGCUGCUGAGGCUGCUGCAGAAGCUAAACGCCAAAGAGAACGUGAAAGAGAAGCAGCUCGUAAAGCCUUGCAGCAGAUGGAGAAAACUGUAGAAAUCAAUGAAGGGAACCUCUUCCUGAAAGAUUUUGAAAUGCUUGGAACAGUCACAGGUGAACAGAAUCUCAACUUGGUCGGUGAAAUGAGUCCAAGCCAUACACCUGAGCCCCUCGGAUUUCAACUUGGGGGCAACCCCCUAGAACAGCUUGGAUUGUAUAUGAAAAAUGACGACGAAGAAGACGAGGAAGUCGAGUCCGCAGAUGAACCAACAGUUGAUGUUGAGGAGGGCGAAAUAGACUGA
rnacentral:rRNA from 1 species